UCUCUUUCUCCCUCCCUUCUCUUCUCUCUAAAAAUAAAUAAAUAAAAUCUUAAAAAAAAAAAAGAAUCAAAGGAAACUCUGGGCUUGCUAACUAAACCACAGGUGUAGGAACAGUAUUAUUCAAAGUUAUCCCACCAUAUACCAAUGUUAUAGAUUAUCUGCAUCUGGUUCAUAAACAACUGGUCAGCAAUACUACUGGAUAGAAAGACAUCUACUGGUGAACCACAACUUUGUGACAUCAACUACUCUUCAGAGACACUACAGAAAUUAAAGUAUGAAAUCCUACCAGGGUGGAAAUAAUUUACCUAUUUUAUACGAUUCUGUGAAGAAUGUAUGAUAGCUAUAAUUGUUGUAAUAAAAGGGCCAAAUCAGCAUGUUCUAUCCAACUUAUAUUUCUAAUAAUAAAAAAAUGAAGAUUGUUCCUGGGGGUAAUAAAUAUUAAUCACAACUUACUGUAAAGAAGCUAAUUUAUUCGGGACUACUAUAUGAUAUCAAUUUAAGAUACACUAAAAUAUUCCAUUUGUAAAUUUUUAGUGGCCUUCUGAAUUAAGUCUCCAACUUAAUGGUAUACUGGGCCCACAAAGGUGUCCACAUCCUAAUGUUCAGAAUUUGUGAAUUCACUACCUUUCAGGACACAAAGAAGUUUGCCAGUGUGACUAAAUUAAGACUCUUUUUCACGGGAGAUUAUCCUACAUUAUCUUGUUUGGACCAAUGCGAUUACAAGGGUCCUGGUAAGAGAGAACGGGGUGUGAUAAAAGGACAGGAUAAUUGUCAGAGAGAAAUCUAAAGAUGCUGCAAUGCUGGCAUGAAGAUGGAGAAAGAACCCACGAGCUACAAGGGUGACGGCCGGCUCUAGAAGCUAGAAUGUGGAAGGACAUGAGCUCUCCCCUAGAGCCUCCAGAAGGAACACAGGCAUGCCAACACCUUGAUUUUGAUCCCCACAGCAUUUACUGGUUAGCUCAUCUCCUCUCCACUGAUGAAGGUACCAUGCUAUCUUUUUUAACUCAUAAGGGAAAAAAUUAUACAUGUAAAUAUACAAAUGUUAACAUAAUAUAUAUGCUUAUGUGCAUAUAUGAAAACUCUAAAAUACAAGCUUAACACACCAGCUUCUCACAGUGUCAACAAAUGUGCUGCUGAGCUGUAACUGUAGAGCUUACACAUUCCUUAGUAAGGUUACGAAAUACGAAAAUAAGCAUUAGGCACACUGUCCCCUCUUUUCCCUUUGCCAAAGCAACACAACUGCUCACCAAGCUGACGGACUCGUCCUCAAAAAGAAUGAUCAAUAAAGUUCCCCCUAACAAAGUUAUUCCCCAUGUUUGUACUCAGCCUUGCAAAAUGCGUGUUGCCACUAGGUGGAGACAAUUUGACAACAGGAAUGUCCGUAACUGAAAUAGUAGCCACAAAUUUUCUACAAAUAUACGCACAUGGUAAAAAGAGGAGGGAAAAAGUUCUGCUUCUAAAUUCUUGGGUGAACUAGGGCUAAUCACUUUAUCUGAGGAUCUGCUUUCCUUAUUUUUAAAUAAAAAUUUACAUUAAGUAGCAUCAAGAGCCCUCUUAGCUCUAAUAUUUUGUGUUUUGUGGAUCAAAAGCUUGCUUCAAGAUCCUUACCACUAUAAUGUCUAAAGAUGCUAUUCUUUACCUAAGAAGGUAUUCUACCUUUGGCAAUUUAUUUCAAUUUAACAUUUCAACCAAACACAACCAGUCAUUUCCUCCAAUCCUUUCUUUUCAAAUCAGGUCAAAAAGAAGCAUAUUUUGUAUUGUAUUUCACACAUCUAUCAUUCAAAGCCAAGGCUUUCUGCACUUUUUUGGUCCUGAAGAAAACUGCUGACAGCAUACUUCUCCAUGUCCAUCUGGCCUGCCUGCAUAUAUAUUUUUAAUAAGCUAGCUACGGAUUUUCCUCUGAGCUGGUGGUGUGCUUGGUGCUACAGGGUGUACCCUGGGAGGGUGAGGGUUUUAUCUGCUGUGGACUCUCUGCCACAGAACACAUGGCUGGCCCCCAAUAAAUAUCUGCAGACUUAGCGGCACAGACAGAUCGGCAUCUCUAUGACAGGGAGAUGUAAAAUAUAACUAAAGCAUAAAGCAAGGCUUAACGAUUUACAUAAGCACAUUAUUAAUGACACAGCUAAAAAGAGAAAUCUAGUAAGUACCGACUUGGAGUCCCAUAUGCCAGAACAGAUGUUAAUCUGAAAAGUGGUACACUGCGGCGGCUGUCAUCCUUUCCUGGGAAGACAAAUGCCCAUCAAGGGUAGAUUUCUGCCAGAAGCAGCAGAGGUGCUGAUGAACACACAUUAGCUUUAGCAUAUAACAGCGUAGAAAGUCACAGCAACAUUCCCUUAUGUCACCAAAAAUACAAAUACCAUCUCUGGCAAGGGCAUACUCUACUGAAAAGUCUGUGGCGAGGCAGUUCAUACAAAAAGAAAAAAAUUCAGAUUAAGAAAAGAAAGCUGAAAGCUGAUGCCUCCACAUUCUAACAGCAACUGGAAUAACCCUUUCAAAAAGCAUCCAGACAACUGAUUCCCACGGAUACAAAAAAAAUUAACAUUCCUUCCCCCAGUUAUCCCAGUCCUAGGAAAUAAUGCUAUUAAUAAUAAUAACAUUUACAGAGUAUCUACUACUUUACACAAAAUCUUGCUUUAUCUUAAUAACCCUAUAAAGUAGAUACUAUAAUUGCUCUCAUUUAAUAUAUAAGGAAAUCAAGACAAAGUAAGUAAACAACCAAGCAACUUCUUCAAAGUUCAGAAGGGUCAAAGGCAAAACUCAAACCCACAUCCGUUUCAUUAAGGCCCAUGCCCUUAACCACUCACUACACCCAACCACACUACUAUUAUUGCUAAUACAAUAAUAAUACCACCAGUAUGGUAGUAUCAACAGGAAAUUUCUCCCAUCAUUAAAAGUAACAAUUAUUAAUAUCAUAUCCAGUGACUAGUAAGGUAAAGUGAUGAGAGAAGCCACUAAUUUGCAUGUACGCUACAAUUACAGCUAUGUCAAGCUGUUUUAGAAGUUAACAACUGUUUGGAGUUUGUGGGGAGGCAAGGUUGCCUCCAUUUUUCAAUUCCUAUUACAGUAAGUACAGAUUUUACCAAGCAGUUUUAAGACAGCAGCUAAGAA